rnacentral:rRNA from 1 species
CCUACGGGAGGCUGCAGUGGGGAAUAUUGGACAAUGGGGGCAACCCUGAUCCAGCCAUGCCGCGUGUGUGAAGAAGGCCCUCGGGUUGUAAAGCACUUUCAGUGAGGAAGAACGCCUGGUGGUUAAUACCCAUCAGGAAAGACAUCACUCACAGAAGAAGCACCGGCUAACUCCGUGCCAGCAGCCGCGGUAAUACGGAGGGUGCGAGCGUUAAUCGGAAUUACUGGGCGUAAAGCGCGCGUAGGUGGCUUGAUAAGCCGGUUGUGAAAGCCCCGGGCUCAACCUGGGAACGGCAUCCGGAACUGUCAAGCUAGAGUGCAGGAGAGGAAGGUAGAAUUCCCGGUGUGGCGGUGAAAUGCGUAGAGAUCGGGAGGAAUACCAGUGGCGAAGGCGGCCUUCUGGACUGACACUGACACUGAGGUGCGAAAGCGUGGGUAGCAAACAGGAUUAGAUACCCUGGUAGUC